UGCUUAUAAUCUAAUUAAAAUAUCUUCUUGGGUUGUUGUUCUUUCUGGACAAGAAGUAUCACAUAAACCUUUAGAUGGAUAUUUGAUGUCUGAUGGACAACUUUUAGUUACUUUACGUAGUUUAGCAACAAAAUAAUAUUACAUUUGCAUAUAUUUCAGUUGUUAGUUUAACUGAUUAAAACUCAACAAAAAAAAUCAUUUUUUUAGAUUUUCACUGAUUUGAAUUAAUUUUGUUUUAUUUGAUUUUCUUAUAAAAUAACUUGGUACAAGAGUUGGUACAAUAUAACACAUUUUACCAAUUCUUCUUCUAUUUUAUAAUAAAAAUAUAAUAGCAUAGCAGAAAUAUAAUAAUGUACCUUGAUACAUACUUAGUAAUGUUGAACAUAUUUUAAACAUUUUUGCAUAUUCUUUAAACCUUUUAUUUCAAUUUAAACAGUUUAACAUUCAUUCAGAAGGUCAUGUUUUUUUUUAAUAUUAUAGUAUUGUUAUACAGGAGAAGAUAUUGAUGGUUCAGUUAUUAACGAAAUAGAUGAUUUUAUGUUAAAGGAACUAAUUCCUCCAAUUAAAGACAGUGUUAUUUUUAAGAAAGAAUUAGCAUCAAAGAAUGUUAUAUGUAAGGUCAUCAUCACCUAUGUUAAACUCAUGUAAUUAUUCAGUCUGAUAAACUAACAUUGCCCCCUCUUCUCCUUGCUGCUGUGGAAAGAAAAGAAAUAGACUUCAGUAUUCUAAAAAGAUCAAAACUAAAGGAGUAUGUUAUGAAUUUUCUUUUUGAUGUCAUGAAGCAACAGUACGGGUUAUUUCCAAGUACAAGUAACUUCUAUGAAAUAGCAAAUGAGCUUUUCCUAAGGUAUCCUUCUCUAAAACCUCGUCACUGCAAUGGCUUUGAACUUCUUGUGCAUUUGUUGAAGGCAAAAUUUAAGCAAGUUAGGCGUCCUCUUCUAAAUGAUGAGCAAGUUGCAAAGUUUAAAAUAAAGUACUCUAGAAUUAAUUCUAGUUGUAAGCGAAAUUCUGUCUUGCUGAAUGAGUCUGUUAAUCUUUGCUCAGCAAAACAUCACUGCCAUCAUUCAAGUGAUAAGAAUGUGGUAUAACUCAAGAUAUUAUAAAAAGCAUGACGAAUGAGUGUCAGAAACUGCGCCCAGAUAUUGAAUUUUUGGUUCACCAGAUUAUCUUGUCAAUUGAGGCAUUAAAAUAUACAUGCCAAAAUGAAAUCCCAGCACUUUACUAUGAAAAAUUUCUUUUUGCAGCAGCAAGAGUUAUAACAAAUAUAGUUAUUACAAUAACUGCUUGUUAUUAUUGGGUAGAAUAAAGGAGGGAAUGAAGAAGUUAAUAGAUUUAAAAAAAACCUUUGUCAGCUAGAUGGCAAACAUUAUGCAAUGGGGUACUUGAUGAGAUUAGUGAUGCAACAAUAAAAAACCUUCAUUGUUUAAUUCUUCCAAGCAUUUUUUGUGACAAAGAAGCACUUUUGUUCACCAUGACGCUAGAUCCAAUCUAUCCAACUCCUGCUCUGAAAAUUGAAGGAGAUGCUAUAAAUCCAACACGAAUAAGUCUUGUAGUUGACGGGCUGACACUAAGCAAUUCUGUUCCUGAUGUAACUUGUGGUUUGGGUCUCGUCAUCUGCUCAUAAUAUAUUUUUGAUAUUGCGUAUCCAAAGAAACUACAAAAAACCCUGUCUUUUCUAGAACAUUAAGUUUUCGAACGAAGGAGUAAACUUCCUGCAACAUUCAAGGCAUUGCUAGUUUUUUGAACUUAUAAUAUUAAAUUAUAAAACUCAAUAACAAAUUGAUGUUAUUAAAUAAUGUUAUUAAUUUGUUUCAAAAUCUUUAUUUAAAUCAAGUUUAUUUUUUUGAACUC
rnacentral:lncRNA from 1 species